AACGCUGGCGGCGUGCCUAAUACAUGCAAGUUGAGCGCUGAAGGUUGGUACUUGUACCGACUGGAUGAGCAGCGAACGGGUGAGUAACGCGUGGGGAAUCUGCCUUUGAGCGGGGGACAACAUUUGGAAACGAAUGCUAAUACCGCAUAAAACUUUAAACACAAGUUUUAAGUUUGAAAGAUGCAAUUGCAUCACUCAAAGAUGAUCCCGCGUUGUAUUAGCUAGUUGGUGAGGUAAAGGCUCACCAAGGCGAUGAUACAUAGCCGACCUGAGAGGGUGAUCGGCCACAUUGGGACUGAGACACGGCCCAAACUCCUACGGGAGGCAGCAGUAGGGAAUCUUCGGCAAUGGACGAAAGUCUGACCGAGCAACGCCGCGUGAGUGAAGAAGGUUUUCGGAUCGUAAAACUCUGUUGGUAGAGAAGAACGUUGGUGAGAGUGGAAAGCUCAUCAAGUGACGGUAACUACCCAGAAAGGGACGGCUAACUACGUG
rnacentral:rRNA from 1 species